UUGCUUAAAUUGGAAUAUUUUUUAAUGUU
rnacentral:sRNA from 1 species